AUGUUUAAAAUCUUUGAAAUGGAAAGGACUUCAAGAAGGUUCCAGUUCACUGGUGUCUUUAUCAUCUGCCUGGCCUAUACCAGCCACAAACCAAGCAGAGAACAAAUUCUUCAAACAGCACUAAUUACUGACAAUCAAACUUGAUGAAGGAAUUUAUAAUGGAUUUUAGAAAAGAUUAUGGCCUCUAAAGGGGGAAAAGAAAUCCUCCUGGACUGUGAUGUCACAAUUAGUGAGGAGAAUAUUAAGUACAGAAACCUCUUACAUCUGUUGCAAACAUUGGGGAUUGGAAUCGUGCAGACUUCUAGAAUGUUAGAGCUGAGGACCAUCACAUUUUCCGUAAUUAUAUACUCUGCACUUCUCAGAGGUGUGAAGGACAGACUGAAAUGCAGCCUUGUGUAUCUUGUCUAACGAUGGUGGCAGCGUCCAUAGCCAGAUCCAUUUUUAACAAAGCCCGUUUCGUGUCUCUCUAGCCAAACUCCCUUCCUAGAGCUUCUUCAUGUCAAAUUCCCCUCGACUGCACAAUUACCCUGGCACGGUCACGGGAAGUACUGCUUAUCUGCUGUGCCACACGGUGGUAGGUUGUGGUCUUGGGCUACAAGACCAAGACCAGAAGCUACUUUUGUUUCCACAUCACCAGUUUCUCACUUCUUCAUGCUGUGUCAGCACUCCCCUUGGAAUUAUUCAUUUUGAAGGACGUGCAGUUCAGAGGUGGUGAUCUACGGAAUAUUCGCCACAGUGGAAUCCAUUUACAUAAUUUGCUUUCGUAACUGAGAGUUCUUUUGGCACGAGCUCAGCGAAAAUUAAUGAGU